UGGGGAAUCUUGCACAAUGGGGGAAACCCUGAUGCAGCGACGCCGCGUGGGUGAUGAAGCUCUUCGGAGUGUAAAGCCCUUUCGGCAGGGAAGAGAUAAGACGGUACCUGCAAAAGAAGCCCCGGCUAACUACGUGCCAGCAGCCGCGGUAAUACGUAGGGGGCUAGCGUUGUUCGGAAUUACUGGGCGUAAAGAGAGCGUAGGUGGUGCGGUGUGUUUGGUGUGAAAUCUCCCGGCUCAACCGGGAGGGGCCAUCGAAAACUGCCGUGCUUGAAUAUGGGAGAGGGUAGUGGAAUUCCCGGUGUAGCGGUGAAAUGCGUAGAGAUCGGGAGGAACACCAGCGACGAAGGUGGCUACCUGGACCAUUAUUGACACUGAGGCUCGAAAGCUAGGGGAGCAAACAGGAUUAGAUACCCCCGUAGUCC
rnacentral:rRNA from 1 species